rnacentral:ncRNA from 1 species
AAUUAUCUGCCACCGGGUAGAAAAACCGAAUGCAUUCGUUGCACAUCGUUAGGUCUUUGAAGAUGUGUAUUACGGGUGCUUUUUAUU